AUUGAACGCUGGCGGCAUGCCUUACACAUGCAAGUCGAACGGCAGCACGGGUGCUUGCACCUGGUGGCGAGUGGCGAACGGGUGAGUAAUACAUCGGAACGUACCUUAUCGUGGGGGAUAACGCAGCGAAGGCUGUGCUAAUACCGCAUACGCCCUGAGGGGGAAAGCGGGGGAUCGCAAGACCUCGCGCGAUUAGAGCGGCCGAUGCCUGAUUAGCUUGUUGGUGGGGUAAAAGCCCACCAAGGCGACGAUCAGUAGCUGGUCUGAGAGGACGAUCAGCCACACUGGGACUGAGACACGGCCCAGACUCCUACGGGAGGCAGCAGUGGGGAAUUUUGGACAAUGGGGGCAACCCUGAUCCAGCAAUGCCGCGUGAGUGAAGAAGGCCUUCGGGUUGUAAAGCUCUUUUGUCAGGGAAGAAACACCGGCUCUAACACAGUCCGGGAAUGACGGUACCUGGAGAAUAAGCACCGGCUAACUACGUGCCAGCAGCCGCGGUAA
rnacentral:rRNA from 1 species